UAUAUAUAUGCCCGAAUGUCCCCUUUUAUAUAGAACCUGUCACUUGUCUAUCUACAGCCUGAGUCCUGAGUGAGAGUUUUAUGUGUGAAAGUGUCUGUUUGAGAAUCUGUUUUACUACUUGCUUAAUACUGUUAUAUAAUGCUGCCAAGUGUGGUUAAGCACUUGCAGGUUUAGCCAAGUUCGGGUUUGGUGGAAAACCCCUGGCUCUAUAUUUAUUUUAGCUAAGCUUCGGUAAAGAAGUUAUUGCGAGACUCGGUCAAGAGUUUAAAAAUAAAUAAAUAAAAUAAUUUAAAAAAUAAAUAAAUAAAUAAAUAAAAAAAAAAAAAAUAUUUUAGCUAAGCUUUGGUAAAGAAGCUAGUGAGUGAUGUUUUGGCCUCGUUUGGUAAAAAACCUGGCGGUUCCUUUGUUUUAUUAAGACUCGGUCAAGAGUUUAAAUAGCUAAGCUUUGGUAAAAGAGCGGUUUAUGUGCUUGAGUGUUUCUGUGUGUGUGAUUUGAUUUAUUAUAAGCCGGCAUUUAUUUUAAGAACUUUGUGAUUUAAUUACAUCUGUAUUUUGUGCUUUUGUCUGUGUAUGUCUUGUUGGGUACCAUAUAUGUUAAUUGUAAUCUAUACAAUUUGUAUCGUUACUCUCCUAUUCUAUCUUUUGUCCUAAGGAGAGCUGUGCUUAGGCAAUCACAUGGUUAAAAAACUUUGUGCUUGCAAGUCUUCCUCCCUCCUCCCCCCCCUCCUUCUCUUGCUCUUGCUGGCUGCAGGGGUGGGGUGAAUGGGUGAAAUGCUUGUAAACUCAGUGAGGAAUGUGAGGGAAACAAGGUAUAUUUGCUGGACGAAUAACCUAGUUAGGAACUUUGUGUAAUCUUGUAUAUGUUGUUAAGCAAGAGGUUAUUGGCAUGUUGGAAUAAGGAAAGUUAGAUUUUGUUGGAACAAAUGAAUUGUGGAAUUUAUAAAUGAAUAUCGCAGAGAAAAGUAAAUUGCAGUUUGCAUUUAAUAGCAGCUAUUCAGAUGCUGUUUUGUGGCAAUCUUUAUACACACAAUGUGAAAUUGCCAAUAGUGAAAUUGACAAGAAAUUGUUUGUUAAUAAUAAAAAAAAAAAAACAAAAGAUCAGAAAUGUUAUGAAACUAGUCUGUACUUACAAUGCAUUGAUUUGUAAACGAAAUGCAGAUCAAGAAAAUUUAGAAUCAUCAGAAAAAGAAGUAGAUUUGAAUGGGUUAACAGAAGACAAAUCCGAUUUAAAUGAACAGUGUAACAAUGUAACAGAGAGCACAUUGUCAGAAACAGUUUGUGAAUUAGAGGAUAGAGUUGAAAUAAGAAAUGAUCUUAUUUGCCAGCUUAGAAAUGAAGUAAAGCUAGUGUGUGUUAAUACAAGAAAAAUACAGGCACAGAAUCUAAUCCCAGAACCAAUAGAUACUGAAAAUGUAUCCUCACAGAGUGAUUUGCAGAAAUAUAAAUUUCAAGACAGAGCUGCAAAACUUAAUUUGAAGAUCCAUGAACAAUUAAUGAAAAUUGUGAAAUGUAUUCCAGUUUAUGACACGUCAGUGGAUGCAUUCACUAAUGCUGAAAUGUUUGAGUCUAAUUUAGACAAAUACAGCCUAAAUGACGUACAAAGGAAUAGACUAUUUCAAAUAUGGCUGCCGACUCAAAUGGCAUGUAGGCUGACCGCGAUUGUAAAAUUUGAGGACAAUGGUGAAAUAAUAUAUGGAAAUAAGCGAGACAGAUUAACACAAUUAAUAAAAUUAACAACAGGGAAUGAUUUUGCAGACACUGAAAUGUUGGAAAAACUAAAACCACACAAGGGGGAGGAUAUAUUUAGUUUUCUUGUAAAAUUUGAAAAUGCAUAUAGACUUGUUGCUGAUUUUUCUGAAGAUCAGUUAAUUAAUGAAUUUGUGAAAAAAUUUCAAGAUCUAGAUCCAACUGCAAUUGUGGUAGCUAGAGAAAAAAAGCACUUUGACAGAAGUAGCUUUGUUCUUGGAUAACUUAAGGAGGGAAACCAAGAAUGAAGGGGUUAAAACGACUUGUGGCUUUAGGCAGAGAAAGAAGUGCAGAUGUUACAGCCCCCGUCCCUCCUUCUUCUUCUUCUUCUUCUUCUAGGACAGAGUGUAGAGUGAUACAGACAGCUGAGCCCCUCCCAAUUUAUUCAACUAAAUAUAGGGCAGUUGAUAAUAUAGGGCAGAAUAUAACUCCUAAAGUUAUUUGUUUUUGGUGCAAUAAACAACAUUAUUUAAGAUCUUGCAGAUAUUUUAUCCGAGAUAUCAAAUCAAAAGCAAAUGAGAAAUUAAAUUUGUUGAUUGAAAAUUUUGACAGAGAAAAUACAUGUGGAGAUAAAUCAAUUAAAGCCUUUCCUUGUAAACUUAUAAUCAGACAAAUAAAAGCAAUUUUAGCUAAAUCGAAAUUAGGAGACAGACAAGCAAUGCAGCGUAACACAGAAAGUUAUAAGAAUCAGAUAACUUCAAGAGAUAUGAUCAGUUUAGGGAAUGAGCAUGGAUAUGUCUGCCAACAGAGGUACACAGGCUGAUUCCAGAAUUAAGAACAGCCAAGAAUAGAGUUCUAUGUUAGUUUGUUUUAAUGAAAUGUUAGUCUGAACUGUUUUUUCAUUGUUUUAUAUGUAUUUUAAGAAAGUAUUAGGUUAAUUAAUUAAAAUAAAAAUGUAC
rnacentral:lncRNA from 1 species